AUUUAUAUAGUUUAUAUAAAACAUUACAUUUUCAUUGUAAAAAAAAAUUAUUUUUAUAAAUA
rnacentral:tRNA from 1 species